rnacentral:rRNA from 1 species
GUAGGUGGCAAGCGUUGUCCGGAAUUAUUGGGCGUAAAGCGCGCGCAGGCGGUUCUUUAAGUCUGAUGUGAAAGCCCACGGCUCAACCGUGGAGGGUCAUUGGAAACUGGAGAACUUGAGUACAGAAGAGGAAAGCGGAAUUCCACGUGUAGCGGUGAAAUGCGUAGAGAUGUGGAGGAACACCAGUGGCGAAGGCGGCUUUCUGGUCUGUAACUGACGCUGAGGCGCGAAAGCGUGGGGAGCAAACAGGAUUAGGUACCCUGGUAGUCCACGCCGUAAACGAUGAGUGCUAAGUGUUAGGGGGGUUUCCGCCCCCUUAGUGCUGCAGCUAACGCAUUAAGCACUCCGCCUGGGGAGUACGGCCGCAAGGCUG